AACACCAGGGAAUUGCCUCAGUAACGGCGAGUGAAGCGGCAACAGCCCAGAUUUGAAAUCUGGCCCUUCUCGGGUCCGACUUGUAAUCUGCAGAUGAGUCUUUUGACGGAGCGCCGUCCAAGUUCCCUGGAACGGGACGCCGGAGAGGGUGAGAGCCCCGUACCGACGUGCGCCGAGUCUCUGCAAAGCUCAUUCGAAGAGUCGAGUAGUUUGGAAAUGCUGCUCUAAUUGUGGGGUAAAUCUCCCAUAAGGCUAAAUACCGGCCAGAGACCGAUAGCGCACAAGUAGCGUGAGCGAAAGAUGAAAAGAGCCUUGAACAAGGGCGUCAAAAAGUAUGUGAAAUUGUUAUGGGGGAAGCGCUCAAUGCCAGACGUGGCGACGGCUGGUUACCCGGCGUUCUUCGCCGGCGCACUCUGCCGCCUGCCAGGCCAGCAUCAGUUCGGCCUGGGGCCCACUGCCGCUCGGAACGUAGCUCCUCCGGGAGUGUUAUAGCCUUGCGGUGACGUCCCGGGCCGGACUGAGGAACGCGCAUCUGCCCGGAUGCUGGCGUAAUGGCUUUUAGCGACCCGUCUUGAAACACGGACCAAGGAGUUGACCUAGCAUGCGAGUGUUUGGGUGUAAAGCCCUCACGCGCAGUGAAAGCGAACGCAGGUGGGAGCCCUCGGGCGCACCAUCGACCGAUCCUGAAGUUCACGGAUGGAUUUGAGUAGGAGCAUGUUGGGUCUGACCCGAAAGAAGGUGAACUAUGCAUGAAUAGGGUGAAGCCAGAGGAAACUCUGGUGGAGGCUCGCAGCGGUUCUGACGUGCAAAUCGAUCGUCAAAUUUGGUGCAUGGGGGCGAAAGACCAAUCGAC
rnacentral:rRNA from 1 species